CGGGGCCCGCACAAGCGGUGGAGCAUGUGGUUUUAAUUCGAAGCAACGCGCAGAACCUUACCGGCCCUUGACAUACCGGUCGCGGACACAGAGAUGUGUCUUUUCAGUUCGGCUGGACCGGAUACAGGUGCUGCAUGGCUGUCGUCAGCUCGUGUCGUGAGAUGCUGGGUUAAGUCCCGCAACGAGCGCAACCCUCGCCCUUAGUUGCCAGCAUUUAGUUGGGCACUCUAAGGGGACUGCCGGUGAUAAGCCGAGAGGAAGGUGGGGAUGACGUCAAGUCCUCAUGGCCCUUACGGGCUGGGCUACACACGUGCUACAAUGGUGGUGACAGUGGGCAGCGAGCACGCGAGUGUGAGCUAAUCUCCAAAAGCCAUCUCAGUUCGGAUUGCACUCUGCAACUCGAGUGCAUGAAGUUGGAAUCGCUAGUAAUCGCGGAUCAGCAUGCCGCGGUGAAUACGUUCCCGGGCCUU
rnacentral:rRNA from 1 species